GAUGAACGCUGGCGGCGUGCCUAAUACAUGCAAGUCGAGCGAACAGACGAGGAGCUUGCUCCUCUGACGUUAGCGGCGGGCGGGUGAGUAACACGUGGAUAACCUACCUAUAAGACUGGGAUAACUUCGGGAAACCGGAGCUAAUACCGGAUAAUAUAUUGAACCGCAUGGUUCAAUAGUGAAAGACGGUUUUGCUGUCACUUAUAGAUGGAUCCGCGCCGCAUUAGCUAGUUGGUAAGGUAACGGCUUACCAAGGCAACGAUGCGUAGCCGACCUGAGAGGGUGAUCGGCCACACUGGAACUGAGACACGGUCCAGACUCCUACGGGAGGCAGCAGUAGGGAAUCUUCCGCAAUGGGCGAAAGCCUGACGGAGCAACGCCGCGUGAAUGAUGAAGGUCUUCGGAUCGUAAAACUCUGUUAUUAGGGAAGAACAAAUGUGUAAGUAACUAUGCACGUCUUGACGGUACCUAAUCAGAAAGCCACGGCUAACUACGUG
rnacentral:rRNA from 1 species